rnacentral:misc_RNA from 1 species
CCGAAGCUUCGGGAUGAGAGGAAAUCCUUUAGUGUCCGCCACGGCAAACACAAAAGAUUGAAACGGAUUGCUUCGCCAGUU